ACAUGAAAUUCAGCUUUGAUGCCAUGUGUUCAGAAAUUCACAGAAAAACAUCCAUGACCAAGCAGUACUGGGUCAUAUUCAGGGUUUGUGCACAACAGUAUUUGGACCACAGACGCAACUACAGACUGACAUGCUACAUGGACAGCUGCACAGGAGUUGUGUGUUGUUCAGCAUCACACCUGCUGUCCUCUGUACUCCACACAGGCACCUUCUCCCCAUCUUCACAUACACCUGAUAUCUGACAGGCGGAGUAUUUUUCAUGGAGAGACAUUAGCCUGAGAUGUGGACUGAUAAGUUGGCAAGAUAAAGCACAUAAAGCAGUCUCCUACCACAGACAGGUCAAAACAUUUGCUCACCCUCCCCAUACAAAUGAAAUGAACACUAGUCUCGUGUGUAUAUGUGAGAAACGAUCCCACUUUCAUUUUUCAAUAGAAAAAAAUGGUAACGCUUUACAUUAAGAUUCCCUUAACUGGCAUAAUGUAACAAAUUACUGUAGUUAAUAUCAUAUACUUGUGAUUGUGAAAUCAUGUGCAAGUGUUAAUAAACAAUAACUAACAUUUAAAAAUCAA